GACGAACGCUGGCGGCGUGCUUAACACAUGCAAGUCGAACGGAAAGGCCCUGCUUUUGUGGGGUGCUCGAGUGGCGAACGGGUGAGUAACCCGUGAGUAACCUGCCCUUUACUUUGGGAUAACUUCAGGCAACUGGGGCUAAUACCUGAUAGGAGCUCCUGCUGCAUGGUGGGGUUUGGAAAGUUUCGGCGGUUGGGGAUGGACUCGCGGCUUAUCAGCUUGUUGGUGGGGUAGUGGCUUACCAAGGCUUUGACGGGUAGCCGGCCUGAGAGGGUGACCGGCCACAUUGGGACUGAGAUACGGACCAGACUCCUACGGGAGGCAGCAGUGGGGAAUAUUGCACAAUGGGCGGAAGCCUGAUGCAGAAACGCCGCGUGCGGGAUGACGGCCUUCGGGUUGUAAACCGCUUUCGCCUGUGACGAAGCGUGAGUGACGGUAAUGGGUAAAGAAGCACCGGCUAACUACGUG
rnacentral:rRNA from 1 species